AUUGAACGCUGGCGGCAGGCUUAACACAUGCAAGUCGAGCGGAGAUGAGGUGCUUGCACCUUAUCUUAGCGGCGGACGGGUGAGUAAUGCUUAGGAAUCUGCCUAUUAGUGGGGGACAACAUUCCGAAAGGAAUGCUAAUACCGCAUACGUCCUACGGGAGAAAGCAGGGGAUCUUCGGACCUUGCGCUAAUAGAUGAGCCUAAGUCGGAUUAGCUAGUUGGUGGGGUAAGGGCCUACCAAGGCGACGAUCUGUAGCGGGUCUGAGAGGAUGGUCCGCCACACUGGGACUGAGACACGGCCCAGACUCCUACGGGAGGCAGCAGUUGGGAAUAUUGGACAAUGGGGGGAACCCUGGUCCAGCCAUGCCGCGUGUGUGAAGAAGGCCUUAUGGUUGUAAAGCACUUUAAGCGAGGAGGAGGCUACUGAGACUAAUACUCUUGGAUAGUGGACGUUACUCGCAGAAUAAGCACCGGCUAACUCUGUGCCAGCAGCCGCCGCAG
rnacentral:rRNA from 1 species